ACAGUGUAAGAAAGUUGACUUAUAAUUAUUGUUAAAUUCCUGUUAAACUGGGACCACGACUAUAGGGUUUCUCUUUUGUAUUUUAUUUUGAAACUCCACAGCGGACGUUUGCCUCGUGCUAAAUGCGGUGCACUUUAGCGUGCGCUCAGUAGCAAACCGAUCCUAUGCUGUGGUCUGAGCGGGAACAGAUGCCUGAGCAACUUGCUGUUUAUCCCUCACCCUGUGGUUGUGUGUUUGCUGUCCCAUGUUUACAGGUAUGUUUAGUUUGAGCCGGUUGUCAUAUUUAACUGUAUUUACUGUUUAAAAUAACAGUUACUGCACUUUUACAGCAUGUUUGCUGUGGCGUAUUUUCACCACUAGGUGGUACUGUUGGUUCAUUGUUGAUUUCACAAUGCUAAAAUGGGCUCUGGACUGUAAAAAUUGUGCUAUUUGGUCUAAAAACUGGUAUUAUGAUUCAUGAUAUAGGGAAAAUAUUGUUAUUUUGACACUGUUUUAUUUAUUUUGAAUGCAUAGGUAUUUCACUAUGUUAGAAAUAUUUUUUGUUACCAUUCGUGGAUUUUGUAAUGUAAAACCUGCCUUUGCCUGGAAAAAUUAUACCACUAUACGAUCACAUUUGCAGUAGCAAACCGAUCCUAUGCUGUGGUCUGAGCGGGAACAGAUGCCUGAGCAACUUGCUGUUUAUCCCUCACCCUGUGGUUGUGUGUUUGCUGUCCCAUGUUUACAGAGGAAAUAAACCAGACCAAAAGCAUCAUCCA